rnacentral:lncRNA from 1 species
ACGGAGGGCGCGCGGCCGCCACCGAGCCUCUGCGUGCUCCCGCGCACGCCAGGCCCAGACGCGCCGCCGGCCACGUGACCCGGCCCCGCCCCCUAACGGAAGUGGGUCGGAGUCCCGGGCCAGGAGAUCGCCAGGGCAGACUUCCGGCUCCACUGCGCGCAAGGACACGCUUAAGCCAGAAUCCUUAUAAAUGAUUAAUAUGCUGUAUGCGUGCUGAGCUGGGGACCGGCUGACAGUUUUAAGGUGAUACGUAAAGGUCCAGUAUCG